CGCCGCGGAAAUACGGAGGGUGCAAGCGUUACUCGGAAUCACUGGGCGUAAAGUGCCNGCAGGCGGUCUAAUAAGUUGGAAGUGAAAGCCUAUGGCUCAACCAUAGAACUGCUUCCAAAACUGUUAGACUAGAGUCUGGGAGGGGAAGAUGGAAUUAGUAGUGUAGGGGUAAAAUCCGUAGAGAUUACUAGGAAUACCAAAAGCGAAGGCGAUCUUCUGGAACAGUACUGACGCUGAGAUGCGAAAGCGUGGGGAUUUNACAGGAUUAGAUACCCUGGUAGUCCACGCAGUAAACGAUGAAUGUUAGUCGUUGGUAUCCUAGAGAUAUCAGUGAUGCAGUUAACACAUUAAACAUUCCGCCUGGGGGAGUACGGUCGCAAGAUUAAAACUCAAAGGAAUAGACGGGGACCCGCACAAGUGGUGGAGCAUGUGGUUUAAUUCGAAGAUACGCGAAGAACCUUACCUAGCCUUGACAUAUUUUAGAAUCCACCAGAGAUGGAGGAGUGCCUUCGGGAGCUUUCUUACAGGUGCUGCACGGCUGUCGUCAGCUCGUGUCGUGAGAUGUUGGGUUAAGUCCCGCAACGAGCGCAACCCUCGUCACUAGUUACUAACGGUUCGGCCGAGGACUCUAGUGAGACUGCCUUCGUAAGGAGGAGGAAGGUGAGGACGACGUCAAGUCAUCAUGGCCCUUACGGCUAGGGCAACACACGUGCUACAAUGGUUAGGACAAUGAGAAGCAAUAUCGCGAGGUGGAGCAAAUCUAUAAACCUAAUCUCAGUUCGGAUUGUAGUCUGCAACUCGACUACAUGAAGCUGGAAUCACUAGUAAUCGUAGAUCAGCUAUGCUACGGUGAAUACGUUCCCGGGUCUUGUACACACCGCCCGUC
rnacentral:rRNA from 1 species